UACAGAGGGUGCAAGCGUUAAUCGGAGUUACUGGGCGUAAAGCGUGCGUAGACGGUUACAUAAGUCGGGUGUGAAAGCCCCGGGCUCAACCUGGGAAUUGCAUUCGAGACUGCGUAGCUAGGGUGCGGAAGAGGGAAGCGGAAUUUCCGGUGUAGCGGUGAAAUGCGUAGAUAUCGGAAGGAACACCAGUGGCGAAAGCGGCUUCCUGGUCCAGCACCGACGUUCAGGCACGAAAGCGUGGGGAGCAAACAGG
rnacentral:rRNA from 1 species